rnacentral:rRNA from 1 species
GUGAGGAAUAUUGCGCAAUGGGCGAAAGCCUGACGCAGCGACGCCGCGUGAGGGACGACGGCCUUCGGGUUGUAAAGCUCUGUUAAUCGGGACGAAAGAGCCUAGUGUGAAUAAUGCUAGGAAGUGACGGUACCGGAAUAGAAAGCCACGGCUAACUACGUGCCAGCAGCCGCGGUAAUACGUAGGUGGCAAGCGUUGUCCGGAAUUAUUGGGCGUAAAGCGCGCGCAGGCGGAUCUGCCAGUCUGUCUUAAAAGUUCGGGGCUUAACCCCGUGAUGGGAUGGAAACUACAGAUCUAGAGUAUCGGAGAGGAAAGUGGAAUUCCUAGUGUAGCGGUGAAAUGCGUAGAUAUUAGGAAGAACACCAGUGGCGAAGGCGACUUUCUGGACGAAAACUGACGCUGAGGCGCGAAAGCCAGGGGAGCGAACGGGAUUAGAAACCCGGGUAGUCC